rnacentral:lncRNA from 1 species
UGCAUCACUGGAUCCAGGUUGCCCACUGGAAGAAGGAGCUCUUUUCUUGCUAUUAGAGAGAUCACGAGAGCGGCAACCCAUAGAAACUGGUAAAACUCUUGCAAAGGGCAUGUGAUUUCCACAAAGGGGAAGUUUGGAUUGAAUGACUUUCUCACAGAAGUUACUGAUUCUUUGAGAAGCAACAGGCGCUCAUGCAGAAACAAGGGUGACGGGUUGAGGAUGGAAAAAAAGAACCAGAGUUUGAAUACAUUUCAACAUUGAUGCAGAAAAUACUUCUGAGCAUCUAAUGUGGGUAAGGCACAAGCGACAUAGCUUUGAAUAAAAAUUGACCUCAUUGUUUACA